UUAGAAGAGAGAAGGGAGGGGUUAUUGGGUAGCAGGGCGCUGAGUAGGAGAACUCUUAUUCUCGGGAAUAUGUCCCGUACUCGGCAAGGUGAGAACUUUCCCGGAAUCCAACUCUCUCCUACUGAUGAAUCUCCGGCACACAGUUCAUGGGAAUUGGCCGAUUGCAAUUUCAAGCCCUGCAUAGGGAACCGGCAGAAAUGGGCAACAUUUCAAUCCAUAUCGGUACCGAAUGGAAAAGCCCAGGGAGCUCACCCAGUUUGGGUUGAAUCCACCCAAGAGCAGCAGCUACACGAACCGAUCUGUUGUGUAAAACUUGAUCCUUUGCCUGAAACACGCAGAACAGGUAAUUGACUAUAGGCUCCUCCCACUAUAGGAAACAAAUAAAAUAAACAAUAGUCGGUGAGCGACAGACAGACGUGCAUAUUUACAAUGUCAGUAAACCUUUCAGAUAAAAGAAGGAUUUUUUUUCAGCGGAACGUGUGUAAUGUGGGAAGAUGUCUUGUUAUUCCGAACUGCAUGAAUUAAAUGCGAUUUCUCCAUUAAUAAAUCACUGCUCUGUCUGGCAGAGAGCGCUAGCGCACCAUCGGCACGGCCAGGUAGGAGUUAAAGCCCACACACCGCCCUCCCCCUUCUUUUUAUCCCCACGAGACGUCUGUGAUUGGUUGGAACCGUGCCAGCCAGCUGUCAAUCACCGAUUGUAAACAAGGCGCUGAUUGGCUGCUGGCCAGUCCGCACUGGGCUGCUUGAAGAAAGCAAUUACUGGGUUCGGCGGUUUUCAGGCUACCCUGGCUGCUCGAUGAAAGCAGAUAAACUAGAGACGGUUUCAAGUUCCCCUAAACCCCCCCCCAUCUCGACAGGCAGACCCCCAUGGCCCCAGAGCCAAGAAGAGAGCAAAGUGUGAGGGCUUCAAAGGGAAACGAUGCAUUUACUAUUAGAGAGAGCCUAAAAAUAACGCAGGUCAGCGCAUGGGGGUUCUGGGUAUCCCUUGUGAAUGGAAAGUACGCUGCCAGCCUGCUGUCCUACAGUGGGGACGGGGGGAAUGGCGCUGCGGCCCCUCUGCCUAAACCAAGUGCGGGAGCAGAGAGGAGAUCCUUGCACUGACUUCAGCCUCCCCCCAUUCGUCCUUCUCCCGGGGCGCAUUACACGGCGAGUGGAGGCCAGACCGAAGGUUUGGAGGGUCCGGGCACCUGGGGUCUGGAGGUACAGGGACAAGGGGCCGCUUAGCGACCUUCCUCCAUCAUUAGUACCUACAUACAUAGGGCAAUAAUCCCGUCUCUAUGUAAAGGGUAACAUGUGCUCUGCGCCUGGGAGCAACUCAUCCACUAACGCUUUGCCUUUCAGUCGCGUAUUUCGGUGCGUAUAUUCUGCCUAUAGACUCAGGGACUCAUCUCUUCUCUGUUUCCCUUCUCUGUCUCAUAAAUGAACAGCAACGCAAAGUACAACCGGGAAUGUAGAGGAGAGUAGCCGGGAAAUGUGUAUGGGAAGACAAAUUCACGUUGAUACAUAGCGCAAAACAUGGAACAGAGAAUUCUGCAUAACAGUGGGUCACUGCUGAUUUCUGUGCGAUUUUACAACUGACAUUUUGUUCAGCUCUCAGGUUUCAUUAGGUUAAUAUUUGGGACCGGACAUUAAUAACCUGCGCUAUUAUCUCCAGAUAUGGGAAUGGAACAUAAUGCGCAGUCAAAAUUUGCCCAUUAGAGCGCUUGCGUUAAAGGGAAACCAGACGUUAAAAGAAAAAGCACCGGGGUUUUGUAGCUUAUCCCAAGUGUGUAUAUUUUGUGUGGCUCUGAAUAAAGGAGACUGCCGCAAAAAGUCACGGAAAUUACGUGCGACCCACAGUCCAAUAUAAAAAGAACUAGGACUGUAUUAAGGGAUGAUAUAAUUAAAAGUACAUGCGCAUUUGCAAAUACAAUAAUAUUAUUCUAUAUAUAGCGCUGACGUAUUCCGCGGCGCUUUUUCAAAGAUUAUACAUCAUUAAUAUUGAUAUAAGGAGCCAUAGAUCUUUCUAACAAGGCAUUAUCUCUGAAUAUUUGAUAGGAUCGGGUGCAUUUACAGACUGCUUCUUUAAA